AGGAAACCAAAGUACAUUGCUCUUCUGUGCACUAACUCAACAAUCCAGUCAGCUGGAACGUACAAAAAGGAACACAUGGCCUAAUAUCAUUUGCAUUGAUUGGAUGUGAAUUUCAGUUAUUACAAUCCAACUGUCUAGAAGGAUUGGGAAUUUGGUGGUUAUUUGUUGUGUUAUUUGUGUGGUUUUAUUUAAGAGAGAGCAAAUGAAGGUAGUGUAGUUCUUUGACAAUGGGUACUUACAGUAAGCUUCUCUGAUUUCUUCUCCAGCAGUGCUUUAAAAUUCACCUAGUUUGGCAGAAUAAGUACAAUUCCAUUAGGAAGGGGACAGUAGAAAUUUCCUACUAAUUUGAUGAAGAUGGACAAUUCUCUAUUUUUAUAUUACGAAGAACUGUGGGAUCUUGUCGUUUCUGGCAACCUGUCACAUAACCUCUCUGCCAUUUACUGUUAGGAAGAGCUUGUUCUAUUUCACUUUUUAUCCUCUCCAAAUGAGAGCAGUUGACAGACCUGAUAUUAAAAAGUAAACUUUUUUUCACCAUUAUACAAAAUUUAUUUUUAGCCUCAGAAAUCCAAUUAAGCUCACACAAUCAUGUCCCCCAACAUAAAAAUAAAUAAUAGUGUAGUCAUAAAUGACACCAGUUAAACAAUGGGUGUGUUUAAUCAAAAUUUGAAAGGAUCUUGCUGGAUCAAGACCUGGCUUGUUAAAGUUUGACCAUUGGUGUUAUGCUUGGUAGUAAGAAGAACAGUGAUUUCUGUUUGUGUGCUUUAUGAUUCAUUUAUUACGGAUUAUUGCAAAUCCAUGUUUCUUUCGGCAGGUAUCAUGAGAUGUGUGUAUCUUCUUUGGCAAUGACGUCUAGCAGCAUUCUGUGCUUAUGGAAACUAUUUUCUCUUCUAAUUCAUGUUACUGGAACACCGGGCUCUAAGAUCCCUAGAAUAUAUAAUUUUAUGCUGUUUUCCAACUUCUGCUCCAUCUUCUUAAAAUGCAUUUCCAUUUUGACCCAAAACACAGUCACUUAGAGGUAACAAACCUUCAUUUGCAAGUGCAGCAAUACCACAGAAUUGCUCUUCAUAUUUCAAAGAGCCAAAUAUUUUCCUUUAUUCUUGAUUCCUGGGAUGACCUCUUUAACAGCUUUUAGCCCUCAUCUGAUCUAUGGUAGCUGCAUGUGACCUGUGUUAGCUGACACAAUUUGGAAAAGUGAUGUACCGUAACUAUAAAUAUCUGAUUUGUGACUCUGAAUGAACCUUUGAAUGUUCUGCAAUAGGUGUUUAGUUUAGGAUUGUG